rnacentral:rRNA from 1 species
GAGCAACGCCGCGUGAGGGAUGAAGGCCUCUGGGCUGUAAACCUCUUUUCUCAAGGAAGAAGACAUGACGGUACUUGAGGAAUAAGCCACGGCUAAUUCCGUGCCAGCAGCCGCGGUGAUACGGGAGUGGCAAGCGUUAUCCGGAAUUAUUGGGCGUAAAGCGUCCGCAGGCGGCCUUGUAAGUCUGUCGUUAAAGCGUGGAGCUCAACUCCAUUUAAGCGAUGGAAACUACAAGGCUGGAGUGUGGCAGGGGCAGAGGGAAUUCCCGGUGUAGCGGUGAAAUGCGUAGAUAUCGGGAAGAACACCAGUGGCGAAGGCGCUCUGCUGGGCCAUAACUGACGCUCAUGGACGAAAGCCAGGGGAGCGAAAGGGACUAGAUACCCCUGUAGUCCUGGCCGUAAACGAUGAACACUAGGUGUCGGGGGAAUCGACCCCCUCGGUGUCGUAGCCAACGCGUUAAGUGUUCCGCCUGGGGAGUACGCACGCAAGUGUGAAACUCAAAGGAAUUGACGGGGGCCCGCACAAGCGGUGGAGUAUGUGGCUUAAUUCGAUGCAACGCGAAGAACCUUACCAGGGUUUGACAUCCUGCGAAUCCCUUGGAAACGAGGGAGUGCCUUCGGGAGCGCAGAGACAGGUGGUGCAUGGCUGUCGUCAGCUCGUGUCGUGAGAUGUUGGGUUAAGUCCCGCAACGAGCGCAACCCACGUCUUUAGUUGCCAGCAUUCAGUUGGGCACUCUAGAGAGACCGCCGGUGAUAAACCGGAGGAAGGUGUGGAUGACGUCAAGUCAUCAUGCCCCUUACAUCCUGGGCUACACACGUACUACAGUGCUACGGACAAAGGGCAGCAAGCUCGCGAGAGUAAGCAAAUCCCAUAAACCGUGGCUCAGUUCAGAUCGUAGGCUGCAACUCGCCUACGUGAAGGAGGAAUCGCUAGUAAUCGCAGGUCAGCAUACUGCGGUGAAUACGUUCCCGGGCCUUGUACACACCGCCCGUCACACCAUGGAAGUUGGCCAUGCCCGAAGUCGUUACUCCAACCCUUGUGGAGGAGGACGCCGAAGGUGGGGCUGAUGACUGGGGUGAAGUCGUAACAAGGUAGCCGUACCGGAAGGUG